rnacentral:rRNA from 1 species
AGAGUUUGAUCAUGGCUCAGAUUGAACGCUGGCGGAAUGCUUUACACAUGCAAGUCGAACGGCAGCAUAGGUGCUUGCACCUGAUGGCGAGUGGCGAACGGGUGAGUAAUACAUCGGAACGUGCCCAGUCGUGGGGGAUAACGUAGCGAAAGUUACGCUAAUACCGCAUACGAUCUACGGAUGAAAGCGGGGGACCGUAAGGCCUCGCGCGAUUGGAGCGGCCGAUGUUAGAUUAGGUAGUUGGUGGGGUAAAGGCUCACCAAGCCGACGAUCUAUAGCUGGUCUGAGAGGAUGAUCAGCCACACUGGGACUGAGACACGGCCCAGACUCCUACGGGAGGCAGCAGUGGGGAAUUUUGGACAAUGGGCGCAAGCCUGAUCCAGCCAUUCCGCGUGCAGGACGAAGGCCUUCGGGUUGUAAACUGCUUUUGUACAGAACGAAAAGCUCUGGGUUAAUACCUCGGGGUCAUGACGGUACUGUAAGAAUAAGCACCGGCUAACUACGUGCCAGCAGCCGCGGUAAU